UAACUUUGAGCGGUGGAUCACUCGGCUCGUGCGUCGAUGA
rnacentral:rRNA from 1 species